UGGGGAAUUUUGGACAAUGGGCGAAAGCCUGAUCCAGCAAUGCCGCGUGUGUGAAGAAGGCCUUCGGGUUGUAAAGCACUUUUGUCCGGAAAGAAAUCCUUGGCUCUAAUACAGUCGGGGGAUGACGGUACCGGAAGAAUAAGCACCGGCUAACUACGUGCCAGCAGCCGCGGUAAUACGUAGGGUGCAAGCGUUAAUCGGAAUUACUGGGCGUAAAGCGUGCGCAGGCGGUUUGCUAAGGCCGACGUGAAAUCCCCGGGCUCAACCUGGGAACUGCAUUGGUGACUGGCAGGCUAGAGUAUGGCAGAGGGGGGUAGAAUUCCACGUGUAGCAGUGAAAUGCGUAGAGAUGUGGAGGAAUACCGAUGGCGAAGGCAGCCCCCUGGGCCAAUACUGACGCUCAUGCACGAAAGCGUGGGGAGCAAACAGGAUUAGAUACCCUGGUAGUCCACGCCCUAAACGAUGUCAACUAGUUGUUGGGGAUUCAUUUCCUUAGUAACGUAGCUAACGCGUGAAGUUGACCGCCUGGGGAGUACGGUCGCAAGAUUAAAACUUAAAUGAAUUGACGGGGUCAUAGCUGUUUCCU
rnacentral:rRNA from 1 species